rnacentral:rRNA from 1 species
UCUUGGUCCAAUUAGAGGAAGUAAAAGUCGUAACAAGGUCUCCGUUGGUGAACCAGCGGAGGGAUCAUUACCGAGUUUACAACUCCCAAACCCCUGUGAACAUACCUAUACGUUGCCUCGGCGGAUCAGCCCGCGCCCCGUAAAACGGGACGGCCCGCCCGAGGACCCCUAAACUCUGUUUUUAGUGGAACUUCUGAGUAAAACAAACAAAUAAAUCAAAACUUUCAACAACGGAUCUCUUGGUUCUGGCAUCGAUGAAGAACGCAGCAAAAUGCGAUAAGUAAUGUGAAUUGCAGAAUUCAGUGAAUCAUCGAAUCUUUGAACGCACAUUGCGCCCGCCAGUAUUCUGGCGGGCAUGCCUGUUCGAGCGUCAUUUCAACCCUCAAGCUCAGCUUGGUGUUGGGACUCGCGGUAACCCGCGUUCCCCAAAUCGAUUGGCGGUCACGUCGAGCUUCCAUAGCGUAGUAAUCAUACACCUCGUUACUGGUAAUCGUCGCGGCCACGCCGUUAAACCCCAACUUCUGAAUGUUGACCUCGGAUCAGG